rnacentral:rRNA from 1 species
AGGGAAUCUUCGGCAAUGGGGGAAACCCUGAUGCAGCAACGCCGCGUGAGUGAUGACGGCCUUCGGGUUGUAAAACUCUGUCUUUGGGGGCGAUAAUGACGGUACCCAAGGAGGAAGCCACGGCUAACUACGUGCCAGCAGCCGCGGUAAUACGUAGGUGGCAAGCGUUGUCCGGAUUUACUGGGCGUAAAGGGAGCGUAGGUGGAUAUUUAAGUGGGAUGUGAAAUACUCGGGCUUAACCUGGGUGCUGCAUUCCAAACUGGAUAUCUAGAGUGCAGGAGAGGAAAGGAGAAUUCCUAGUGUAGCGGUGAAAUGCGUAGAGAUUAGGAAGAAUACCAGUGGCGAAGGCGCCUUUCUGGACUGUAACUGACACUGAGGCUCGAAAGCGUGGGGAGCAAAC